CUAAUAUAAGUAGAACACUGAAGCAAGAAGUUCUUCAACGAUUAUUAUUUUCAGUGAAGGAAUAUUUUCAGUCAAUCAGAUGAGUCAUUAAUCUCCUAUUCUUGGGUAAAAGACAUUUCUCUUUUUAUUUUCCAUAGCUUUCAGUUUUGUGCUCCCCAAACUCAAAUCAUUGUCAAAUCUAUUCAAUUCUUCCCUCUUACCGCUCAUUGUCAUCUAAUGUUUCUUUUGCGGUCUCUUGAGAGUUAGUCUGUCAGCUUCCCCUUCUAUCUUUUAUCUCUCCUCCUCUGGUUCUGUGCAGCCCAAUUCCAUUUCAAUGAUUUUUUUUAUGAACUUGACAAUGUCAUUUAGUUUGUUGUUUUUUCUUUGUGAAUAUUUUAAAAACCAUUUUGUUGUUUUGUAAAUUUUACUAAGUUUCUGCAUUAUUCUGACUGUAACAUCAUGAAGAUGUCCGACUGUUCCUAGAUUUCUUGUAGCAGUCACAUUUUUUCUCAGUUUCCACAUCCCUGCACAAUAAAAUAUUUGACAGGGUGAUACAUUGGUCAUGAACUUAUCAUUUAAGGCCUAGAGACUUUUCACUUUCAAAAUCUGGACUUCUUUACUUGAUGGGUCCCAGCCCAAUUAAUUUACCCUUUUGGAUUACUUCAAUUUCUUUUACUUGGCUUUGUUGUUACAAUUUUGCCAAGUUAGGUCUAACUCUGUUUUUAUUCCAAGAAAUAUUUCCACAGUUUUAAUAUCAGGAAAUUCAUUUAUCAAUUUGUUGAAUAUUCUCUUUUUAUUUUUGAAUUUUUUCACAUUCAUUCUUAGUCCUACAGCUUUGCUUUCUGUAUGAAGUGCUUCUAAAAUAGUCUUAAGUUCCAUAAGAUCUCCACUAAUGAAAACUAUGCUUUCUGCAAAUUGAAGGUGUGUGAAAAAUUCAGGCACAAAUUUUAAUUUCCAUUUCGUCUUCCUUCUAGUGCAGUUUUCAAAACACUUCUUCUUAGCAGGUUGUCCAGGAAUAACUUAUGUAUUUUUUUUUUUUUCCAAUCAAGUAUUUGUAGUUAUAGUAUUUCACUUAACUGUGUUAAUAUAAACAAAAAUUGAGCUCUGAACUCUCUUGAUAGUAAUGAAUAUUCAAUAACAGUGUUCUUGAUUUUUCUUUCUUUUUUUCCUCCAUUUCUUAAUAAUCAUAUGAAUUAAUCAUACGUGGAAGAUAUUAAUUUUUGAGGGAAAAUUUAUCAAUAGAAAUUGGACAUAUUUUUUCAUGAAUAAAACUUUUGGCAUUUUUAAUUCCUUUCUCUUAUUUCUGAAGGUUUUUUCCCCCCUUAUUUGUCGCAAUGCUUCGAGGGGAGACAUUGUCAUCACCAUGAAGAAAAAACAAAAAAAAAUUUUCAUAAAUUUGUCCCAUAAAAAACUAAAUGUCCAUCCUCAAAAACAAAAAAAUAUAUCUUAUUAGAAUUUCAUGCCAAUUCCAUGUACAUCGGAACAUUGAAUUAUUAUCAUGGAAUAUUCAUUUAUACAGAACUGCAAUAUUACAGCAGCAAAUGUUUGAACACAUUCCGUAUUCGGCUUCUUUAUUUGUUAUUUCUGUGAGUAAAGGCUGGGACAAUUGCUUCAUAUUUUCAUAGUCUAUGUGGCGGUGGUGGGGGUGGAGAAUGGAGUGGAAUCUUUCUGGAAUAUAUGAGUACGUAGGUUAUAAAUGGUAAGUGUGAUUAAUAUCUUGAAUCACCGAAGAAUUCACAGGCAAUAAAUUUAGAUGUUGCGGAUGCAGGAGAAGGCAUUCGAUACCAUUUUAUUAUAAAAGUUUUAGCAGACAAUUUGAAUACUUUUUCAACGUAUGUAUGUGUGUGUGUGUCUAUGUGCGUACAUAUAUUUAUGUAUGUAUAUGUAUUUAAUAAAAAGAAAAACAUAACUUUUCGUUUUAUUGCUAUUAAUAUACUAUUCCAUGCACUAGCAAGAAUAUUUUAUCACUAUAAAUAUAUAUAUAUGUGUGUGUGUGUGUGUGUGUGUGUGUGUAUAUAUAUAUAUAUAUACAUGUGUGUGUAUAUAUAUAUAUGUGCAUAUAUAUAUAUAUAUAUAUAUAUAUAUAUAUAUAUAUAUAUAUAUAUAUAUAUAUGUAUAUAUGUGUAUGUAUGUAACAUAUGGUAUAAUUAUAAACAAGGCAAAUUUUAACCAUUUCUCUGCAGACUGAAAAAAUGAUGAACUACCUUAAUCGAUUUUCAAACUUUACAUACGAACAUAUAUACAUACAUAGAUGUUUAUGUAUACCUGUAUGAAUGUAUGCAUGUAUGCAUACAUAGAGAGAUAAUGUAUGUGUGUAUGUGGGUGUGCUUGUGUGUACAAAUCUACAUCUCAUCAAAUUUAGCGAUAAACACAUACUCUUUUAUUCUUUUACUCUUUUACUUGUUUCAGUCAUAUGACUGUGGCCAUGAUAGAGCACCGCCUUUAGUUGAACAAAUCGACCCCAGGACUUAUUCUUUGUAAGCCUAGUACUUAUUCUAUUGGUCUCUUUUGCUGAACUGCUAAAUUACAAGGAUGUAAACACACCAGCAUCGGAUGUCAAGCAAUGUUGGGGGGACAAACAUAUACACACACAUACAUAUAUAUAUAUAUACAUAUAUAUAUAUAUAUAUAUAUAUACAUAUAUACGACGGUCUUCUUUCGGUUUCUAUCAACCAAAUCCACUCAAAAGGCUUUGGUCAGCUCGAGACUAUAGUAGAAGACACUUGCCCAAGAUGCUACGCAAUGGGACUGAACCCAGAACUAUGGGCUUCGUAAGCAAGCUACUUACCACACAGCCACUCCUACACCUAUGUUCAUAACGAUUAAAAAGUUGGAGGGACAUGUAACUGUUAUUUUUAGAAGGCUGAGCAGUCAUGUGGAGACUCACCAAUUGGUUUGAAUAUAAAAGUAUAACACUGUAUGGUCAAAAAUAUUGGUUAAAGAUUUCUGUAGAGAAUGUAAUGUUCUGCACGAAUGCCAACAAGCCAUGAUGACGAUAAAGAUGUCUAUGAAGAUAUGGGUUCUAUAAGUGGCUGAAUAUAUCAGGAUCUCCUGUUCAGUCUUAUAGUAUAGGUUGACCAAUACCUUGUGAGUAAAAUUUGAUAGAAAGAAACGGUUCAGAAACACAUUGUAAUAAGUAUGUGUGUGUAUAUUAUGUACUUAUAUGUGUAUGUAUGUAUGUAUGUAUAUACUCACACACACACAUGCACACACACACACACACACACACACACAUCUAGCCGUAGAAGCCAUGCCAAAUCAGAUUGGAACCUGAUCAGUCAAACCAGCCAAUCCAUGAAAGCAUGUAAAGCGGACGUUAAAGGAUGCUGAUGAUGAUGAUGAUAACUACGACGAUGAUGAUGAUUAUGAUAUAUCUCAGUUUUGUCUAUAAAUUGCUGAAAAUAGUACACUUUUAGGAUAUUCAUUCUCCUACAGAGUGAAAUGAAAGUAUGAUCUAACGAAGGACUUAUUUUGUUCAAAGAAUCACGAGGUAAAAACACAUCUUGCACGUUUCCUGGAUGAUAGUGGUUACACAAUAUGUUUCUCUGGGAUUGGUGGAAUUGAUGUAAACACCUCUGAUGAGAACCCAAUAAGGUACAAAAAAUUGAUGAAGGCAGGUCGUCAUUUUUUACAUUCUGCAGAGAAACAGUAAAUUUGCCACUUGUAUUAUCUGCUACAUACUUUGCCUUUAUAAGUCAUAAUAAUGUUUGUUUUUAUUCCAAGUUAUUUAUGUAACCAAUUUACUGUUAAGCUGGAUUGUUUGGUACUUUCUAGUAGAAUAGAUGUGUAUUAACUUUUACAAGGGGAAGGUUGAUAGUGACUUCAAAGUUUUGGUUUGUUUGCCUUCUUCAAUCUACUGAAAAUGUGCAACCCAAAACUUUGAAGACACUGCCAACCAUUUCUUUGUGAAAGUUACAAAAAAUAUACAUAUUUAUAUUUAUCUGUGUAUGCUCACAUGUAUGUCCAUACAUACAUGUAUGUAUGCAUGUAGGCAUUUACGGUUGUAUAUGUGUGCAUAUGUUUGUGUGUGUGUGUGUGUGUGUGUGUGUGUGUGUUUGUGUGUGUGUGUACAUAUGUUUGUGUGUGUGUUUGUGUAUGAAUGCCUGCAUGAUUAUAUGUAUAUGUAUGCAUCUCUGUGUUUAUGUAUGUGUCUAUAUAUGGUUGCCUGUAUUUGUGUCUGCCACAGUAUAUUGACUUAGGGUGAAAAGACUGGUGAAAAUUGGUGUUCUUCAAACGAAGUCUCUCAUGUUAUGGGUGUUUCUUUAUUGCUUUUAUAAUGACAAAUGCAAUGAAGCAGUGGUGGCAAGUGCGUGUGCACACACGCACACACACACACAGAUACACAAAUACACACCCAUACGUAUACCAAACAACUCUGUGCAGAUACACACACACACAUGCACAAAGCUACGCCAUCGCUGACAAAUAGCAACUUACACACAUACACACAUACAAACACUCACUCACACAUACAAACAUGCACACACACAUACACACAGAUACAGAAAUACAUACUCACACACAAACAAAUAAGUGCACGCACACACGCACAAAGCAAUGAUGUUGCGGAAAAAUUGCAACAUAAAAGUAAAUUUAGAAAAUGCUCACACACACAGCAUACACGCACACACAUACACACACAAAUACAGACAAACACACACAGAAACAAACACCCACUCAGACACACAUAUAAAUAGAAGAAUAUGCGUUUUUAUUGACAAGAAAUUUAAUUUUCAAGAAUACUUACUUCAUUAUUGUAUAUUUGGCAAAAAUUAAUUUAUUAAAUUUUCACACAUUUAUAACUUCUCCAAGACUUGUGAAAAUUCUUUCUACUCUUGAAAAUAUCUCAACCAUUGUUUAAAUAAAAACUAAAAUUAUAGCAAUAAACACUUGUAAAAUUAACUCUCUAUUCCUAAGCAGCCAUUAUAUUCGAGAGAAUGGUGUGUGUGUGUGUGUGUGCUUGUGUGUGUGCAUAUAUAUAUAUAUAUAUAUAUUUAUAUAUAAAUAUAUCAAUGUAAAUAAAUAUAUAGGUGCAGGAGUGGCUGUGUGGUAAAUAGCUUGCUUACCAGCCACAUGGUUCUGGGUUCAGUCCCACUGCGUGGCACCUUGGGCAAGUAUCUUCUGUGAGUGAAUUUAGUAGAUGGAAACUGAAAGAAGCCCAUCGUAUAUAUGUAUAUUUAUAUGUAAGUGUGCAUGUGUGUUUAUGUGUCUGUGUUUGUCCUCUUAACAUCACUUGACAUCCGAUGCAGAGAAUAAGUCCUGGGAUCGAUAAUAGGUGGUGUCCCAGUCAACUGACUGAAACAAGUAAAAGAAUAAAUAGAUAGAUAGAUAGACAGACAGAGAGGUAGAUAGAUAGACAGACAGAUAGGUGGAUAGAUAGAUAGCUAUAUAGAUAGGUAAAUAGGUAGAUAGAUACAUAGAUAGAUAGAUAGAUAGAUAGGCAGAUAGAUAGAUAGAUAUAUACUCGAGAGCAGUUUGUGUAUAUAAUCAAAUUAAGGAAAAACAUUACUCUGUUCUGUUUUUAAAAAUAGUCUGAAAUAUAUAUUAUACAUUAUAUUUCAUUAUUUUGUGAUUAUUAUAUUAUUUUAUUACAUAUUUUAUUGUUGUUAAUGUUCUUGUUUUUGCUGUUGUUGAUGUCAUCGUUGUUGUUAUUUUGUUAUUGUUGUAUAUUGAUUAAUGUGGUUUACAGGGUAAAUUUCUUUAUAUGAAAUUAUUGUAAAGAGAUUAAUUAGCUAAAGUCUUAUUAGUUGAAGAAAACGAUGUUUGAAUAUGUGUGCUUAUAUGUAUGUGUGUUUGUAUGCAUGCAAAUAUAUUUAUAUGCCUAUGUAUGUGUAUAUAGAUAUAUAUAGAUACACACACAUGCAUGCACAUACACGUAUACAUAUAUACAUAUAGAUAGAUAAAUAGAUAAAUAGACAGAUAGAUAUACAAAGUGAGCUGAACUAUAAAACCUAGAGGGCAAAUAAUCUUUCCCAUACUCCUUUAGUCUUUUUUUAAUCUAAUUCUCACACGCAUGCACCCACACGCACCACACACACACACACACACACUCAUACUGACACAGACACACACACAUUCACAAUAUACUAAUAUAAUAAAAGAAGCUGUGCAACCAUCAACAUACUCUCUCUCUCUUUACUCUUUACUCUUUUAUUUGCUUCAGUCAUUUGACUGCGGCCAUGCUGGAGCACCACCUUUAGUCGACCAAAUCGAACCCAGGACUUAUUCUUUGUAAGCCUCGUACUUAUUCUAUUGGUCUCUUUUGCCGAACCACUAAGCUACAGGGACGCAAACACACCAGCAUUGGUUGUCAAGCGAUAUUGCGGUUGGCAAACACAGAUACACAAACACACACACGCAUAUUUACAUAUACAUAUACAUAUAUACGACGGACUUCUUUCAGUUUCCAUCUACCAAAUCCACUCACAAGGCUUUGGUUGGCCCAGGACUAUAGUAGAAGACACUUACCCAAAGUGCCAUGCAGUGGGACUGAACCCGGAACCAUGUGGUUGGUAAGCAAGCUACUUACCACACAGCCACUCCUGCGCCUAUCAUCAUCAUUAUAAUCAUAAACAUUGUUUUACAUCUACUUCUUUUUGUUCCUAUUCCCCCAACCACCCACCGCCAUUCCUUGGGUUGCAGAGUGACUGGUGUAUUAAAGCCACAACAGAAUGUACUCAUUAGAAAUCCUGAUUAAUCUGUAUUCUAUGGGUGUGAUUGGGUGUUGGAUUAAGAAAGUUUACCUCUGCAAACUGAUAUUGGGUGAUGAUGAUUACCUGUCAGGUGAUGGUGAUCAAUGAUGCUUACCUUUAGAUUGAUUAAAGACAAUGGUAUUUACCUGUUAAGCAAUGAUGUGUAAUGAUGCUUACCUGUUGAGCAAGACCAGAUGAUAUUUACCUGUAAGGGUGUUGAUGUAUAAUGAUUUUUUACCUGUAAGAUGAUGUGAAGUAAUGAUAUUUACCUGAGAGGUGAUGAUGGACAUUAGGAUCUGGUUUAAGGGUCAGGGUGAGCAAUGACAUCAACCAUGAGAGAAUGAAGGUCAGAAAGUAGUAAUUCACACUUACCACGACUAAUUUGUUUGUUAUAAGAGCUAAUUAGUAUGUUAGUUAGGGUGUUGUUGGGACCCAAGUUGGCACUGACUGAGCUGAGUCAGUAAUCAAAAACAUUCCAGCCACUACGAAGUAUACCUUGGACUACAUUAUCAAUUGUGCCCCAUUUUAUGACUGCUUAAUACCUGUGGUCUUCCAUAGCCUCUGGCUGACCAAAACUUUGUGAGUUGAUUCGGUAGAGGGAAACUGAAGGAAGUCCAUUGCAUUAUACACAUAUAUAUACUUGUGUGUGCACGUGCAUGUGUGUGCGUGUGUGUGUGUGUGUGUGCAUGUCUUUGUAUCUUAGUUGGUCCUCCACCAGCACUUAACAACUGGUGUUGGUGUGUUUACAUCCCUAUAACUUAGCAGCUCAACAAAAGAGACCGAUAGAAUAAGUACUAGGCUUAAACAAAUAUAAGAGCUGGGAUUGAUUUAUUCAACUAAAAUUCUUUGAGGUGGUGCCCCAGCAUGGCCACAGUCAAAUGAUUGAAACGAGGAAAAGAUAAUAAAAGAUGAAAAAUAAGAAUGUAGUUUAGUAUGGCAGUAAAAUAUGAGUUGAAGACUACUCUUGAGAUUCUGUUGUUCUAGAAGGAAUCUUAAUACAGACCAUUAUGAUGAUGAUGAUGAUGAUUGUGGAAACAUAGGUUGUAUAAAUGGCUAAAUGGGAUACGUAAUGGGUGAAGAUAAAAUACAAUUUAGAGGUAUCGAAAAUGAUUCAAAUAGAACAAGCAUUAUACACGAAUAGGAAGAAAGUCUGAAGAAAUAAAGAGUACCAUUAUUGUCAGUUGGAGAGGUGGGGUAAGUAUAAAUGAAGAAUGGUAAAUUCAGUUCCAUAAAAAAAUCAGAAAAUGGAAGCAAGAGUAGAUAUAUGUAAAUGAAUACAUUGAAUAAAGUAGUUAAAAAUUUAUGCAAAAUAAUUUUUGGCGAAGUGGAAGUAGAAUUAUUGCAUAAUAUAACUAUUGUGGCAUCCAAAACAUGACGAUGAUGAUGAUGGAAUUGAUGGACAUAGUGAUGAUGAUGAUGAAAUCAAUGCUGCUGGUUUCAUUUCGACAGUUAUUCAAGCAAGCCGAUAUUUUAUAGCAGUGUGACUGUAAAAUUCUGCAGUGAAAAACUUUGUUAUAACUGGAUAUAAAACAUAUACAUACAAUACAUACAUACAUACAUAUAGAUAUAUAUGCAUAUACAUAUAUAUAUAUAUAUAUAUAUAUAUAUAUAUGAAAGAACUUCAAAAAUAAAUGGGAAACCAUUAAACUACACUGCAGCCAUUAAAAAGACUUUGUCUACUCAGAAAUUCUCCAGAAAUGUUUGCACUUUUUUUUUUGCCAAAAGUGUAAUAAACCUAAAAUCCAAUUUUUGGUAGCUGUAUAUGCUGUCACCAAUAUUUGCAAUCCUGUUGAUAGAUCACAACAAAACAAUAGCAAAAUAUUCGAUUCAACAUGGGUUGUUGUUGGGGGUAUAUAGUUUUUUUUUUUGUGGUGUAAUAAUGAUGGUGGUGGUUGUGGUGGUGAUGGUGGUGGUGGUGGUGAUGGUUGUGGUUAUCUUGUGUUUUAUUUUUAUAAACAUUUCUGUGUGAAUCACACAAAUAGAGAAUUUAAAAAAAAAAAAAAAAAAGCAACACACCCACUCUAAAUAGAAUUGUAUUGAUUUCUGUUAGAAAAAUGGCAACAACAUGUGCAAUUGUUUCCCUUCUGCCAUCGGAAAUGUGAUACGUAUUACAGAUAUAAAAGCACUGAAUUCUGUCUUUUAACAAGGUAUUUUACAUUGUGUCUCCAUUUUAAAUUAUUAUUUCUCUACAUUGCACCAAAUUCUUCAGUUAUAUAUUUGGAGUUUUGUUUGUAAUAAGGAAAUAAUAUCUGUGUAAUUCUAUACUGUGAGAAGAAAUAUAUAAAUAUACUCGUGUGUGUAUGUGUGUGUGUGUGUGUAAACUCAUAGGCGUGUAUCCAAAUUUACUAGCACAGAUACAAAUACACAUGCUAAAAUCUAUUUAUGUGUGUUUUCAGAAAGUACUUUCAAAGACAAACCCAUUUAAUAUAGAUGUAAUACUGGCAAAAUAAAUCUUCAAAGUGUUAUAUACAAUGUUGAUAGAACACAUUUUAUACACAUAUGGAAUAUAUUAUCUUUGGAAGAAAAUAUUUAAAAAUGUAAUUUGCGAAUGAUAGAUUCACUUACAAAAUACACCAGCCAUUGAAAACACAAGCAUGUAAGUAAUCAUUUGGAUUCUGAGGAGGUUAAUGUGUUUAUGCUGUUUCCAAAACUAAAACACAAACAGGAAAUUCCAAUAUAGGGUUUUAAUUCCCAAAGUUUUAAUUCACUUUUAACAGGAUAGGUUUUUUUUUUAAUGAUUACUAUUAGCAUUAUUACAAUGCUGAAAAGAGUGUUUUAAUAGAAUUUCUUUAAGUUUUCAUUUGAGUUCUGUUAGGGAAUCUGUGACCAUAGAGCUACAUAUAACCUUUUGAUGGGCUGAAUGCAGCUUUCUGAUAGGCUGAGUGUGACCUUGUGUUGGGUUGAGUAUGAUCUCUUGGUUGGCUAAGUACAGCCUUCUGAGUGAAAUAUGACAUUUGAAAGAAAAUCAUAUGCAUAGAGAGAAGAGCCAUACAUUCCCUCACCAGAGCUGAGUUGGCCACUUGUGGACUUUGCAACUGGGAUACAAAUUGAGUGAGAACUGAUGUUGAAAGACUUGAAACCACCUAAGACCCUAGAAACUUUGCUGAUGAUGCACCCCAGAGCAUUUAUGCAAGAUUUCUCUUUGAACUAUUUAGAUUUAGAGCAUAUCUUUUCAAAUUAAUUGUAAAUUUUAGCAACAUUUGUAAUUAUUUGUUUAAAGUAAUUAUAAUUUGCAUAAAAUUCCAAAGAAAUUUUUGAAAACAAAAUAAAAAUAAAAGUUACAGGGAAGUGACUAUUCCAAAACCCCACCUGUUUCCAUCUCAUUAGAGUUUCUAUAAAUAUCUAUAUUUCAUUAAAUAAUAGGAUUAGCAAAAUAUAUAUUCUUUUAAUGUGGCUGUGUGAGAGAACAGUUAAUUUCAAUGCAGCCCUUUUUUAUGAGAAGGUACCCUGUCUCUCAUUUAGACCUCAUAUCUUGUACCUUUUAUAUUUUACUUGUUUCAGUCAUAAAUAAAUGAGACAUAGAUGAGACAAGAGAGACUUGACAUGGUUACUAAAUGUGGUAGAAAUAGCAGCCAAAUUCCCUCAGAUCAUAUCCUGCAGUCUUAGUAAAAGAAUAUGACACUAAAUAAUGGCAAUCCAAGUUUUCUUGGAAAAGCUGGAAUGGUCAUGACAGUUACAGGCAGGAAUGCUUUUGAUCAAUAUUUUUACUCAACCAAUCAGGCUUGACCUGGGGCUAAGCAACAACAUCAACAACAACAACAAAACAAGGGCCUCUUUAGAUUAUGUAUCCAUGCAUGUAUGUAUGUAAGUGCCUUGGUAUGUGUAUGUAUUUAUGUAUUUAUGCAUUUUUUUUUUAUAAUUCUGCCAUUACAAACAUACAAUGGUUUGAUGCUGAUAUACAGGUAGAUAUUAAUCCAAAUGGAUGCUUGCAUUCCUCAGGUAGACCUGAAUUGCUGUGACUAAAACAUCUGUUUCUUUUGCAUUAUACCUUUUAAUGGGAUCUAUUUAGUGUGAGAGAGAGAGAGAGAGAGAGAGAGAUGCAUGUGUGUAAGUGAACAAUAGGUUGUGAGCUUGUAUGUAUGUUGGCAGUAAUAUAGAUUGUUACAUAUCAAUAAUAAUAUCGAUGUGAUGGCUAUGUAUUCCACCUGGAUUAUCAAUUUACCACAUGGUCAUUAAUUAGAACUCUACAUCUGAGUAAAGAGAUUUUGACUCAUUCUGUCCCAUUACUCGUUUGUAUUGAUUGGAUUUCAAGAACCCCAGUAAUUUAUUAGGGACACAGAAUUUUAUUGAACCUAGAAAUAUAGAAGGCCAAGUUGAACUCAGAAGUAUUUGAAAUCAGAAUGUUAGGAGCCAUAAAAAAUAUUUGUAAUGUAUGAUAUCCUACGCUUUAAUGAUACCACUAAUACACCAACUUGCUGCAGUUACUGAAGUAUAUAUAUAAAUGUGUGUGUCUAUACCAUCGUUUCACUGUUUAACGUCCGUUUUCCAUGCUAGCAUGGGUUGCACGGUUCGACUGGGGGUCUGGGAAGCCAGGAGGCUGCACCAGACUCCAGCCUGAUCUGGUGGUGUUUCUACUGCUGGAUGCCCUUCCUAAUGUCAACCACUCUGAGAGUGUAGUGUGUGCAUUUUUACAUGCCACUGGUACAGGGGCCAAAGGGGGCUGGCAUCGGCCAAAACUGGAUGGUGCUUUUUACAUGCCACUGGCAUGAAAGCCAGUCAAGGUAGCACUGGCAUCGGCCAUGUUCAUGUGGUGCUUUUUAUGUGCCACCGGCACAGGAAUCACAACUACAAUUUCCAUUUGAUUGUGAUUUGAUUUGAUUUUGAUGUACUUGACUCAAUAGGUCUCCUCAAGCAUGGCAUGUAGCUCUACAAUCCAAGGUACUUUUGAGUGGGCUGGUUAUGUGAUACUGGUGUAGGUAACAGCUAUGAAUUCAAUAUAUAUAUAUAUGAUGUGUGUGUGUAUACAUAUAUAUAAACCAGCUGUCCUAAUCUUCACAAGUGCUUAUUCAGUUCUAUGUUUUCAUAUACAACUCAAAAAGUACACAAACAUAUAUGUCUGUGUGUGUGUGUGUUUGUGGGAGUCUCUGUGUGUGUAUGUGUAGGAGUGUGUGUGUGUGUGUGUGUGUGUAUGUUCAUAUAUUGACAGUGUGUGAUAGUUGUAAAUGUCACUUUCAUACAAUCAGUGCCACUGAUUUCCGAUAUUCUGUGAGAACAAGUCUGGCCAUGGGAGGAAAUAUUACCUUGCUCAGAAACAGGUGAGGGUUGGUGACAGGAAUAGUGUUUGCUUCAAUAAACUCUGCAUGAGUCAUGCAAGCAACCAGAAAAGUAAACAUUAAAAUGAUGAUGAUGAAGACGAUGACAAUGACGACAACGACGACAACGAUGAUGAUGAGGAAAUUUUUAUAUAUUGUGUAGUUUGAUUUCAAGUUGCUUGCCAAAUAACCUGUAUUUAUGCUUUGUGUAGUUAUUGAUACAAGACUGUUUUAGAAGCAUCUGAAUGGUUAUACAGUUGAUGAUGUGAUUGGUCAAAUGAUUGGUUAUUUCAUUGGAUGUGCUGAUCAAAAUAUAUUCACAAGCAUAUCAAAAGAUGAUUAGCCAACUAUAUACUGAGAUUUGAUUUAUUGCCAAAAACUAAAAGACAUUAGAAAAUGUGUUACAUAUUCAACUAUUCUUUACUAUGAUCUGCACAUGUGGUGUUUUAAUUUUUCCAUGGAGCAAAAACACAUGUUCUCAUAUCUUUGGCACUAUGUAUGUAAAACAGACAUAAGUAACAGAAGUGCUUCCUGUUGAUCACUAAAUUAUUAUGGUCUUCAUCUAGAGUAUCGUUAAUCUAUUAUGUAGGACAUGACAUUCGUUAGCCAUCUGGACUUUCUCAGUAAAUAGUAACAAAAAUGUUUACAAGAAUCCACCAAGUCCAAUAUUUUGUUCAAAAGACCUGCGACAGAAGGUUAUACUUCUUUGAAUCACUGAGAUCGUAGUUUCUAAAACUGAUAAUAUAGGAGGAAGCUUGCUCCAUAAUAGACCAAUCUAUCUUAUAAUUCUUGAUAUUAUCAUCUUAAACUAAAGAUAUAUUCAAAUAGUGAAAUAGUUAAAUGUCUAAAUGAAUACAAUCAUCAUAAAAACCUUCUUUUAAAAGCUCUUUUAAAAGAAGUAUUUUGUUUUACCGUCAUUUCUAAGAAAGAUAUUAACUUGAUAAGAUAAACUUUAGAAAGACACAUAUCUUUUAAAGAAUAGACGUUAUGGCCACUCUAAUUACAUUAAGAAAAAGAGUUUAAUAUCAUUGUACAAGAAAAGUUUUCUGCCUUUCUAGUGUCUAUGGAAGCAACAAAGAUUUUGGUGCAACUGCAGCUCAGCCAAAUAUUACUCUGAUUAAAGAUCUUACGAUAUCUAUGGUCUGUGAGAAAUGCUUGUCUAUAGGGGUUUAGGGAAAGUCAUCAAUAUUAAAAUGAACACUUAAACUAUAAGGAGGAUUGCGCCAUUUUCUUAUUUUUGCAUUUAGAUGUAACAGUACCGUAUUAUAUUGAUGUAUUCUGUCUUUGAAGACACUGUCUUUUAAUGUACUAUUCUAAUGAUGAAUUACAUAGUUGAAGGAUAGUCUUCAGGAAGGGAUAAACUGAAUACGUGCUGGAUAAUGUUAUUAACUUCGUUUGGGGGCUGGAUUACUGUAGUGGGUUGUGCAAUAUAUAUAUAUAUAUAUAUAUAUAUAUAUAGAAAGAGAGAGAGAGAGUGAGAUGGGGGCAAUUUCUCAUUGGAUUUAUUAUAAAUUUUCUUAAACAAUCUCUGGCUGUUACUUUAUAUGAUUGGUUCAACAAUCAGAAAUAUGAAAUGCAGAGAGUUACAAUUCAAGAUAUUUCAGAUUCUAAAUUAUGCACAUAUGUGUGUGUGUGUGUGUGUAUGUCUGUGUGUUUUAUUUAUAGCAGAUAUAUUACACAUUAUAUAUAUAUAUAUAUAUAUAUGUGUGUGUGUGUGUGUGUGUAUGUGUGACCGCGUGUGUACCGUUGGCAAUUUUUUCCUCCGUCUUCCCUUCCUUGGAUCUUUCCUUUUCAUAUGUUUCUGACGAUGAGCUCUGCUCGAAACAUUAAAUUCUCCUUCUUUCUUUCCUUUCCUGAGCGUCCAAUAAUACUAUAUUUGUUCCACGUCCUCGCGUUGUUGUGUUUUCUCUUUGUGUUUUCAUGUUUUGAUUAACUAUAUAUAUAUAUAUAUAUAUAUAUAUAUAUAUAUAUAUAUAUAUAUAAUAUUUUCUCUCUCUGCUUAUUUCUGUGUUCCUUUCUGUUGAAGAGUAUAGGCUCGAAAUGUAAAAGACUUUCUCACUUCCCGAGUGUUAAAUUAAUACAUCUGUUUGUUGUUUACACACCCGUCUUUGUCUUUUGUUUUGUUUGUUUUUUGUAAAUUCCAACUAUAUACAUAUUUAUAUGCAUAUCUGUGUCUAUAUGUAUACAAAGUAGUUUUUCCUUAUCCUGAGCAUUUAAAUAAGAACGUGUACAGUAAAACACAUUACACACACACACAAAUACAACCACUUGUAUCCAAGCAAUUUCUAUGCAGCUGAUUCAGUUCCAUGAAAAAAAGAAAUGGCCCCUACAACUAGACUGAUGCUUCUUUUAUUGAUUCCCACCCUCAAGGAAUAAAAAGUGCAGUUGACAUUGGUAGGCUUUGAACUCAGAUGUUGUAAUGACCCUUCUGAUUUGCAGCCUUAAUAGCAGCAAUGUGAAGAAGCUGACCAGAAGAAAUUCUGUGCCCCUUCACAUCUGUGCCCAUGGGACCGUGACCCCUGCCAGCUUGUUCUACCCAUUCCUUCUCUCAUGUUACGUCUCUGUUUUGAUUUUUCACCAUUGAUCUGCUUCUUCACAACUCACCUGGUGCUAAAUAACAACUGCAUUCAACAUCGUUACUAACUUUUAAUAUUCUUGCUGCUACUACUACUACUACUACUACUACUACUACUACUACUACUACUACUACUACUAAUAAUAAUAAUAAUAAUAAUAAUAAUAAUAAUAAUAAUAUUUCUAUUCCCACCAUCACUCCACUGCUGCUACUACAACUUUUACUACUAGUUGUAAUGGCUAAACAGAUACGAAAACAAAAACCUAUACAAAUGUUGUCAAAAUCCAAGCAAUAAUGGUGUUUAUGUAGAAGACGGUAAAACGUCAUAUAACUCUAGUUUAUUACUUAAAGUAAAUAAUAACAAUGAUAAUAAUAAUAAUAAUAAUAACAACAACAACAACAACAACAACAACAACAACGAUGAUGAUGAUGAUACUACUACUGCUACUACUACUACUACUACUAAUAAUAAUAAUAAUAAUAAUAAUAAUAAUAAUAAUAAUAAUAAUAAUAGUAGUAGUAGUAAUAAUAAUAUUAUUAGUGAUAUUUGGAGUAACAGUAGUGUAGAACAAUAUUGUGGUCGGUGCUUUGAAAGUGUGUCUGUAAGUCGGGGAAGAACAGUCAAGAUGACAGCUGAUGGUCUCUGUUUCUGGCAGAGGUCAAGAGAAGAAGACAUAUUGUAGUUUGCUGUGUUUGAAGAAUGUGAAGAUUUUAGAUUAAACGAUGUCUUAUGUUCCUAACUGAAUUAAUACCAUUUUUGCUGUGUGUGCUGCAAUGAACAGAAACGCAGAUAAACAUGACAUGCUAGUUCAGCCACUGGUAGUUUGUUUUGUUUAUAAAAAAAACAAAAACCAUUGUUUGACAACAUCAGAGAGUCUGUAACAUUAAAGCACAUUGUAGAUGAGAGAUGAGAGACAAAACUGCUUCUGGAUAGAUUGUUAGUCUUUGACAGAGAAGGCUGUCAGAAGAUCUGAUGUCUGUUCCUCCAAAAAGUUUCAUGACUUGAGGUAUAUAAACAUCGUAAUUGUUUUGUUUUUGUCCACUUUUCUAUGAUGGUAUGAGAAUUAGAAAGUGGUGAGUGCUUUCAGAAGCAGUAAUUCGUGGCUGGGUUCCAUUCCUGACAAUAACUCUUUUAUUACUUUUCAUAACACAUUGCAUUACUGGGUCACUAUUCUUGAAACUGGCAUACAUAUCAUCAUCAUCAUCAUAUUACAUCCACGUACCAUGCUGGCAUGAGUUAGAUGGAUCGCUAUAAUCCAAGCCAUUUCUUGCUAGGAGUUACAGUUCUCCAAACUGGUGCUCAGACAUAUUUUGAUUUUUGUCCUGGUCUCUACAGCUGGACAUCAUUCUUAUCACCGACCACUUCACAAAGCACAUAAAAUUCAAUAUCUCAGUUACCAUAUCUCCAAAUUUCUGCAUCAACAUCUCCAGUUCUACAGACAUGUCAUUUCUUCACAAUCACUCAUACACACAUGCACACACACACACACAUACACAUAUGAACAUCUGUGUGCGCACAUGCACACCCACACACACAAUAACAGAAUAAGAAUGAUUUACAACUUUAUUUCUGUCUGAGAACAAUAUAUUGUUUAGAAAAUUAUUAUUUUUAAAUCUCACAAUGAGAGAUUCAGCAACGGUACUUUGGAGUAAAGAUUGUUUGCCAACAUAACAUGGCAAUCCUGGUUUAGGACGAAUGUUGCUGUAAUUUAGCCCCAGGGGGCAUCGUCUCCAAAUUUAUAGAUUAGUGACUAGUUGUCACUUUGAAAACUAUAUAUUUCGAACAGGAAUUUGGAAGUGCCACCUUGGGCCGAACAAGUAUUCUGUGCUGAUGAAGGGAAAUACCUGGAAAUCGUGAUACUCAGAUAUUGUUUUGAGCUGAGUGAGGGUGCUAGAUUCCCUUGUUCAAAAAUAUAAGGGCCUCCUGAGGUUAAAUGACAGCAACAUUCAUCCUAAACCAGGACUGACAUGUUAUGUUGACAAAGAAUAUUUACUACAACAUUGUUUAUAUUGUUAUUGGUGAAUUUGGGAGGGUCAUUCUAUUCAGUUAAUAAAAACUCCUGCACUGGUUGCAAUUCAUUUCUUUUAUCUAUUAAUUUAUUGAUUUGUCAAAGGCUUUUGUGUCAGAUCUGUAACCUUCCCUAUGGGUUUUCUAUGUCUUUGCUGGAAGACUGACUGUCCUUCCUCUAUAAUUAAAAUAUAUUGUUGUUUACUUAAAACAGCUUUAUUCUCUUUCUUUCUGUCUCAAUGUACACUCAUCUGACCCAUGCAAGCAUGGAAAAAUAGACGUUAAGAUGAUAACAAUAUAGUUGUGUUUAUGUAUGCAUGUGUAUAUAUAUAUAUAUAUAUAUAUAUAUAUGUAUGUAUGUAUAUAUGUAUGUAUGUAUAUAUAUAUACACACACAUGUAUAUAUAUAUAUAUGUGUGUGUACAUAUAAAUGUAUGUAUAUGUGUGUGUGACAAUGAUGUUGAUGGUGAUGGUGAUGAUGAUGAGAAAAAUGAGAUGGUGGAGGAGAGGGCUGAUUAUCAUCUAAAAGUGAAAAAAAGCAAUUAGAAAUAGUAUUUAUAAUUAACAAUAUCUAAUAGCUAGUGACUGCUGCUUUAAUAUCGACUUUAAAAAUAAUCUAUCUGCUGACAUAUAUAUGCACACAUACACACAUAUAUAUAUAUACAUACAUAUGUGUAGAUAUGCGCAUAUAUAUAUAUGUAUGUAUGUAGUGUGUAUAUAUAUUUAUAUAUAUAUUGUAUGUUUUUUUCCAAUAUAUUUUCGCCUCUCUUCAUUCUCCAUCUAUACAAUUCACUCGCUUUUAUCUAUUUACCUAUCUAUUUUAUUUUUUUAUCUAUUUAUAUAUUUGUUUAUUAUAUUUUUUGAGCUGUUUAAUUAUUUAAGGUUUCGUUAGUUGCAAAGGUUUCAGCUACUGGAAAGAAUUAAAUAAAUAAUGAUACGCUUUGCUUGCUCCAGCAUCGCCAUGACUUUCUAUAUGCGAAUAUAUUAUGAAUUUAUUUCUUUUUUAUUUUAUACGUGUGCAUAUGUGUGCUGGUGUGUGUAUGCUGCUUUGGCACUGUGUGUGUUGUGUGUGUGGUGUGUGUGCAUACAUAUAUAUAUAUUUAUAUAUAUUAUAUAUAUAUACACACUCAUACACAUAUACAUCUAUGUAUAAACAAAGGCAUAUAUGUAUGUAUUUUAUUAAAUUUAUACAUAUAGUAAUACAUAUAUAUAUAUAUAGACGUACACACAUACAUGCAUACAUUUAUAUAUAUAUAAAGAGAUAGAUAGAUAGAUAGAUAGGUAUGCACAUGUACUUGCAUACACCUCUUUCUCUCUCUCUUUCUUUCACUCUCUUAGUAUAUGUAUAGAGAGAGAGGUAGUAAUACUGACAAACAUGUGUAUCUAUCUAUCUAUAUAUAUAUAUAUGUAUAAGUUUACAUACAUAUAUAUACACAAAGAUAUUUACAUAUGACAUAGACAAAAUAUUAAUAAGAGAAUGCAUAAUUUACACACACACACACACACAUAUAUAUAAUUUGCAGUUAAUUUUCUUUGCCUGUUGGAACACAUCACCAUUCAUCAUUUUACUGCUGCUACUACUAGUAUGUACUAAAACUAACAUCAUCACCAUCAUCACCACUGACACCUUCAGCACCACCACCACUACCGCCGCCGCCACCGUCAUCAUCAUCAUCAUUGUCAUCAUUACUAAAUACCACAUGCUAUUCUGUCUCACUUUCUACUAUUCCUUCCCACUCCUCAGCCUUACUCGCUUAUAGGGUUUCAGUCGUUGAUCUGUGGCCAUACUGGGGCAAUACAUAAAAGAAUUUUUAAUUGAUUAUAUCAUCCUCAGUAUUUAUUUUUCUUAGAUAUGUAUUUUAUUGACCACUAUUUCCCGGAUUGCUAAGUCACAUAUUUAACAUUUAUAUUCAGUUUCAACCAACUACAUCUCUGUAGUUUCCAUCAGGGAAAUUUCCAUUCAUACAGCCAUAAAUGAAGACACCCAAUGUGCAAUGCCAUGCACUGGAACUGAACCCAAAACUGUGAGGUUGUGAAGCAAACCACUUAACCACACAGCUACAUACAACUAUCACAUCCAAUGUAACAAGUCAAUGAGGGGCUCUUUAUGAGGUUAUUUGACUUUUUAGAAAUAGCAGUUACGUCUCCUUUAAAUCAUACCCUACUGCUUGGAAAAAAGGACGGUUGAUCAUUCGACCCAGGGCUUUUUUUGCAUAGAGGGAAAGCGAGAGAUGGUCACAGCUGACAUACCAGAGAUCAAUAACUGGUCGAUCAGGGCUGAGAUGGGCGUGAACAACAGCAACAACAACAGAAACAACAGCAACAAUUUCAUUAAAACAAAAGUCUAUAGAAAUCGAUAUUUAUUUAUUUAUUUGAUUUUUUAAAUGUUUUUUUUUGCCAUUACCUGUUAUUUUUAGUGUUCUACUUCUAUAUACCCUUCCUCGUAUGAAAGGGGUGGGUCCUUUGUUCGCUGUCGCAGCUGGAUAUCUGUCCCACUGUUAACUACUCAACUAUGAAAUAUGAAUAAAGUCAGUCUUUUUGUUCAUUUUCAAUAAACUGAAUAAAAGCAGACGUAGGUAAUUUGUACAAGGGAACACAAACAACAUCCUGACAUUAGACAGAUCGGAACUUAUGACUCAAUAUCAAUGAUCUGUAGAGCAACACUCUGACAUCGCAGUCAUUGUUACUUCAUAUUUAGUUGGUUUAAACAAUUAUGAUGCUGCAUAUGAAAGGAAGUCCAGGAUAGAUGCAAGCCUGGUUGUAUGGUAAGAACCUUGCUUCCCAUUCACAUAGUUUUGAGUUCAAUCCCAACCUGUGACAUCACUUUCUAAAUAUACAGGUAUAUAUACAUUUAUAUAUAUAUAUAAGUUGGGAUUCUUAGUGGAUUGCAAUAUUUGACACAGCUUGAAUCAUAAUCCUUUCCAUAUACUAUAUAUAUAUAUAUAUAUAUAUAUAUAUAUUUAUAUAUAUAUAAUGUGAGAGAGAGAGAAAUAAAUAGACAUACACAAAUGUAUGUAUAAAUGUAAAUAGUGGGUGGAAAGUUCUUGCUGAGUCAUAGGUUCAUAAGAACAUUUCUUGCAUUCUGUGGCAUAUAUAUCCCCCCCCACACACACACACACCUUGAUAAGACACCAGUCUGUUGCAAUAUUACUCAGUCUUUGCAUUUUUGCCAGCUGAGUGGACUGGACCAACUUGAGAGGAAGCAUCUUGCUCAAGAACACAAGGUCUUGCCCAAUCUAGAAUUGAAACUUCAAUCUUAGAAUCAUGAGUGUGACAUCUCUAACCACCAAGCCACACAUAUGCACAUAUAUGCCUGUGCGUACAUAUUUAAGCAUGUAUGUAUGUAUGCCUGUAUGUACAUUCAUGUUGAUUUGGUAACUUAUUCAGGGAAACAAGAGAUUGAUAGACAAAGUACCACGCUAAAGAAUAUGUACAGUGGUUGAUUUGGUCAACUAUAAACUUUCCAAGGCAGUGCUCCAGUAUGGCCACUGAACAGUUACUGAAACAAUUAACAGAGGAUAAAAACGAUCCUCUAUCUCCUGUUUCAAGUCUGGCAUACAGCUAUUUUAAUUCACGUUGCAAUGUUGUUAAUCAUCUUGAAAAAUGCAUGAACGUCCCAUAAUCUCAUAUCUCCUGUUUUGCAAAUCUGAGGCUUUACGUGCUCAGUGACCAUCAAUCUUCUCCUUUCUAUUAUUUAUAUGGUGUUUAUUUAUUCAAUCAAUUUAAACGUCCUUGUAAAGCAGGUAAGCUGUGACUGGCUGAGAGAGGUCAAUAAUGCCACUUAUAUAGAAGAAGGAAAAAAACUAGAAAAAAGGAAAAGAGGAGAUGGAGAAGUAGAGACAGAAAACAAUUGAAUGUUUUCUAUUAUUAAAUCUGCUUUCAUAGCUUCCAUGAAAGACGCAAUCAGAGGCAGCAAGUUAGCAGAACCAGUGGAGUGUUGGAAAAGUUACUUUGCAGUGGGUGUUACUUUUCUUUUUUUUUUUCAAUCUGAGUUCAAAUCCUGGUGAAGUGAACCAUGUUUUACUUUAUUGUCAGGUUAAAUAAAAAUAGAAAUUUCCAAGUAGUGGGUGGAGCAGGUGAUGGAAUUGACUAACUCUUGCCCCUCAAACUUACUAGCUUUGUUCCUAAACCAAAAGGCAAUUAUGGUUGGUGCAUCCUUGAAAACAAAUUGCUUCUCUAAUCUUGGUAGUAUUUUAAAAACCAUUUUUAAAAAAAAUGUCCUCUUUCUGACGACAUUUUUGCAUUAGAACAAAUAAGGAUUUCUUUUAUUUGCCACAGGGUCUUCAUGUGAGGGCAACAUUAGAGAAGCAGGUUACAAUUCAUGAAGGGCUUUAAUAAUUUUAGGUAAGGAAAAACAAUGACCUUAAAACAAGGCCUUAAAGUUUCUGGAUAGCUAUCACUGAAGUAUAAAGGAGUUGCUAGAGGUGAGUUUUUUAAUGAAGAUGAUAAUUCAUGAAAUGAUAAACAAAUGUUAAGUGUGUAAGCCCAUAUCUUUCAGAAAUUGAAAAAUAAUCCCUUUACUGGUUUUAGCAAUUUAGCAGUUUCUAUGCUUGGGUACUGUCUUCAAAGGCAUGUAAUAUUAGUUUGAGACUAGUUAACUUUGUAUCUGAAUUAUUGUACACUAUGGUAGGAAGAAGGCAGCUAGAUGACAGAAAAGGCAAUGGUUUAGUAGAACCAUUAGCAUGUGGGGCAAAAUGUUUAGCAGCCUUGUUUCUGGCUCUUUAUAUUCUGAGUUCAAAUUCUGCUGAUGUCGAUUUUGAUUUUCAUCCUUUCUAAGUCUAUAAAAUAUAUACUGAAUGAUCACUGUAUUCAAUGUAAGCAGCCUUCUUCCUUCCCCAAGAUCGUUGGCCUUGGGCCAACAUUUCGAACUAUUAUUGUAGGAAGACACCAUAAGAAACUCACUACCACUACCAUCACUACCACCACUGCUACAAACAUUACCACAGCUACUACUAAUACUACUACUACAGCUACUACUGCUGCCAUUACUAUCCGACUAGAAGAUUUUUUUAAUUAUUUAGAAUUAUUGCUAUUAAUACAACUACUUCUACUACAAAUAUUUAUAUUAGCUUUGAUAUAUGCUUCCUAGUUUUGAUAUGUAUCUGUCCUGUAACAAUGUAGAUGUUGCAAUAUCCAUCCACCCAUCCACACCAGCUUAUGUAUUCUUUUUCUUGGUUAAUAUAUUUAACUCAUUGUCAGUCGCAUAUGAAACAAUUCUAGAUUUGUCUACGAUUCGAUUCGUAGUAUCAUAGUCACAACAUCAUCACUGGCAAGGCAAUGGCUACAUCUAAAUGACUUAAUCUUCGGCUUCCUUAUAAUACUUCAUAUCUACUUAACACAUAACUACAUGCAUACUCACACUAUUUACUGAUAAGAAUGGUCAAUCAUCAUGGCAUCAUCAUCAUCAUCAUCAACAUGGCCAUCAUCAUCAACAUCAUCAACAUGGCCAUUAUCAUCAUCAUCAUCAUCAACAUGGCCAUCAUCAUCAUCUUCAUCAAUAACAAACUUGAAGAGUUCGACUGGUCUGUCUAAUAGCUUAAUCUCGUUUCUGUAGUCUACAUGUCUAGGUUUCCAUUAUUUCAUUUUGUGCCAAAUCUUCCCCAGCUUAUUUUUCCUCCGAUGUACCACUCCUUGAGAAUCACACCCCAGUGAAAAUAAAUUCCCUUUAUAAAGAAAAAACAAAUAGAUGUUUGACUUUGUUAAAACAUUGUUUGCUUAAAGCUGAGAAAUAUAGAUACAGUAAUAUGUGUGUGUGUGUGUGUGUGUGUGCACGCACGUGCGUACAUGCGUAAAAGUAUAUGUGUGUACAGUGUGUGUUCAUUUUCACUUUUAUAGAAGAAAAAUAUAAGAAUGAGUAUUCGUAGCAUCAUUUGAUUCUCACUGUUCACCAUACACAUGAUGGUUUGUUAUCAGUUGGCAGAUAUUAGCAUACAUUGACAAAUAAUUCCUUUACUGAGUCCUAUCAACAAGGGCCAGAAACCAGAAACUCUUGUUAGAUUCAUUAGUCCUAGAUAGCUGUGGCUGAGGAGACACUCAAGAAUGUCGAAACAUUGGUAUCCCAAAGUUCCUUUAUUCCAAUGAAUUGAGUGUGGCAUGAACCCACAGUCAUCUGGAGGGAGAAGAUGUUCUCCAUUGAUGAAAUACAAUGGCAAUUACCAUAUUAAUUAUUAUUUUAUUUUGAUUGAUCUCCCACAGCCACUUGAUGCUUUUAAAUGAGUUCUGUAGAUAAUUCUUCCCAAAUUUUUAUUUUGUUUUUCUCACAUUAACUUGUACUGUUUGAACUAUGUAUAAUCUUUUCUAUUCAAGGCACAAAGCCUGAAAGUUUGGGGCAGGGAUCCAGUCAAUUAGAUUGAACCCCAGUACACAACUGGUACUUAGUUUAUUGACCCUGAAAGGAUGAAAGGCAAAGUUGACCUCAGCAAAAUUUGAACUCAGAACGUAAAGACAAACAAAAUACUGCUAAGCAUUUCACCCGGCUUGCUAAUGUUUCUGCCAGCUCGUCGCCUUUGAACUAUGUAUAAUACUAGAGAAAGAAACCUAGAAGUUUCUUGCAAUAAACACAUCUGAAGCAAAAUGUGUUCCUGGCUCCUGGACGUUUGAGGUUGGCUGUGGUGGUUUCCCAGCAGCUUCUCUCAGAAGGUUUCUGAAGGUGGCUGGUGUAUCUGCUGCGAGGAGGAUCUUAAAGGAAUAUGGGGAGAAAGUGGUUGAGGGUAGUACUUGGAUUACCAGGAGGUUUGCGAAAGCAUAUAAGACCACAGAAUUGGCAUGAAUCUGGUUGCAACGCAAUACAUCCAGCUGUUGUGGGCCCACCUUGUGGAGAGAUACUGAGCAUAACGGGCCAAAAUCUCAGUGAAGCACAGCGCUCAACUGAUGAUUGCAGCCGGAUGAGAAAUGGAGCACUCGGUAAUUUUCUCCUACUGUGAGUCUCAAGUUUGCUCUUUUGCUUGCGUGGAACCUCAAAAAUCUUCUAUGUGUCCCCAGGCAUCCUACAGACAACAGUAAAGAACCACUGAUAUCAUCCAUUAAACUCCCCCACUCAGAAGUUCUGGCCUUAUGCCAAAAUUAAAAACCAUAUCACAUCAACCGAAUCUUAGUAGACCAUUUUAGAAAAACUACCGAAAACUUGUAUCUGAAGCAGAAUGUGGCUUUGUCUUUUGUUCUUGUAGCAGACAUUUAAUACCAUUCUAAUUCCUAUCUUCUGCUUAACUAUUCAGUUACGGAUAGCACAACAUGUUUAUGUGCGAUACUCCAUACAAAUCAAGACUCUUGCAUAAAAUUAACGAGCAUCAAUGUCUGGGUCAAAGAAUAAUAUGACAGGUGAUUGGGUUACAUUAUUAAAUUAGUGAAAUACAGGAACUUAACUGAAGUUCUUCUCCUGGUUAUAUGUCAGCAGAAAACGUUCACAUCUAUAUAUGUGCCGACACAACCAAAACGAAAGUGGAUGGGAGGAACUAACCAGCAUUUAUUUAAAGGAUUUUUAUGCAAUUCUCUCUAGCUCUUUUUUUUUUCCUUUUCUUCUUCUUUCUCAUACACUUUAUCACUUCCAAUGCCAUCUUCCACAUCACUGAAAUACUUCAAGCAAUAAAUAUUUUUUAUUUUAUUUUGUUCAUAUAUUUAUGUUGUUUUUUUUUCUCUCAUUCUUCAAUGAUACCAAUUUAUACUUUUACUGCUACUUAUAUUCUACCUACUCUAUCUUUCUCUUUUACUCCUCUCUCUCUUUCUCUUUCUCUCUCUCACUCUCUCUCUCUCUCUCUCUCUCUCUCUCAUUCUCUCACUCUCUUAUUUCCACUCCUCACUCUCUUUCUCUUCUUUCUUCAUUAUCUUUUUCUUUAUGUCUUCGAUUUCCAAAUGAAACCCAGUUUGGCCAAUGGUUUAUGAGACAUCAUCUGGAUAUCUGUUUUAUAGCAAUAUUCCACAACUAUAUUCUUAGUGAGGAAUUAGAAUAAAUAAAUAAACUAUAGCAAGAAAUAAAAUAGCAGAAAACUCUAUAUUAAACAUGGCAAAAGAUAUUUCAGGCCUUUAUAUAAUUGUCUCCACAUAUCAUCUAUCUAUCUAUCUAUCUAUCUAUCUAUCUAUCUAUCUAUCUAUCUAUCUAUCUAUCAAUCUAUCUAUCUAUCUAUCUAUCUAUAUAUAUAUAUAUAUAUAUAUAUAUAUAUAUAUAUAAACAGGGUCAGACAUGGCUAUGUGGUAAGAAGUUUGUUGCCUUUCAACCACAUGGUUCUGGGUUCAGUCCUACUGCAUGGCACCUUGGUCAAGUGUUUUCUAUUAAAGCCCCAGGCUGACCAAAGCCUUGUGAGUGGAUUUGAUAGAUGGAAACUGAAAGAAGCCUGUGGUAUAUAUGUGUGUGUGUGUAUAUGUGCAUAUGUUUGUCCCCACUGCUGGUUGUUAAGUCAUGUUGAUGUGUUUACAUCUCUGCAACUUAGCAAUUCAGCUAAAGAGACCAACGGAAUAAGUACCGGGCUUUAAAAGCAUUAGAACUAGGUUCAAGUCAUUCAACUAUUAUUCUUCAAGGCAGUGCUCCAUCAUGGCCACAGUCUAAUGACUGAGACAACUAAACAAUGAAAGAUAAAGAGAUGGCUUAAAUAAGGGAAACAGCCAGACAGAUCACAAUCCUUGAAGUAUAUGCAUGUGUGUGUGUAUACAUGUGUGUAUGCAUGUGUGUAUGCAUGCAUAUAUGUGUGUGUGUGCAUGUGUGUGUAUAUGUGUAUGUAUGUGUGUGUAAGUGUGUAUAUGUAUGAGUGCAUAUGUGUGUGAGUAUGUGUGUGUGUGUACGUGUGCACGUACGCAUGUGCAUGUGUGUGUGUGAGUGCAUGUGUGUAUUUGUGUCACACAAGUAUUGAAAUGUGGACAUGAGAACAAUGAUGACAACGAUGAUGUUAUUUUACUGGUAAAACUGAAUCGUGGAUUAAUCUGGCACAAAAAAAUCCACUCCAGUUUUGCUGCGUACGAAAGGGUUGAAAAAUUGGAGGAAAAAAUAAUAAUAUGAAUAGAUAAAUAUAUAUAUAUAUAUAUAUAUAUAUAUAUAUAGGACGAAAUAUCCCUGAUACUACAGUUUGCUUAUAUGCUAUUUUACCACACUAUAUGAAUCAGUGAUGUAGUAUGGUUUUAUAUAAACAUCUCUGUGUACAACAUGCAUGAGAAAGAAAUGAAAAGAGGAGAAUGGAGAAGAUCUGUGAUGGAGUCUGCAUUGGAGUAAUUGUCUCUUGGUAAUUCUUCUGCCGAUGCUGAAGUUGUAGAAGAGAGAAUACAGGAGAGUAAACAAAGGAAAAUAUAACAGCUCAGAUUGAUGGAAAUAAGAAUCAAAGCUCCUUAUUGAUGGGUGGACAUACUAAUGAUAGAACUAGGUAAUUAUAGUUAAGAGGGCUACAGGAUAGCAAAAUAGCUACAGGCAAGAUGAUAACAACAACGGAUGCUGAUUGAAUGAAACUAUUUAACUGAUUGAUGAUGAUGCUGGCGAUAUGGAAAACUGGACAGCUGAUGGUGAAUACAUUGGAUGAGAGCAGUGACGAUGGCGAUGGUAAUGAUGAUGCUGGGGAUGACGAUGACAGUGAUGAUGGUGAUGAUGAUGACGAUGAUGUGGAAUGAUAAUGAUGCUGACGUCAGCUAUGACCGAUAUGCUGACGACAAUAUGAAUGAUGACAAUGAUGCUGAUUGCAUAGAAAUCUAUGCAAUAUAUUCGAAGAACACAUAAGUUUGGCUAAGUCAAUUCCAUGACAGUUGUGUAGCCAAUAUAUAUACAUACAUACAUGCGUGUAUGCACAUGUGAAUGAAUCUUUAUGGGUGUGUGGGUGGGUGUGGGUGUGUAUAGGUAGCUAGCUGUUUAUAUGUAUGUCUAUAUAUGUCCAUAUAUACAUAUUUAUGUGUGUGUGUGUAUAUAUAUAUAUAUACCCACACCCACACACACACACAAACACAGACAUACAUAUAUAGGUACUCUAUGUAUGUUCAAAUGUCUGUGUCUGUGUGAUGUCUACUAUGAAAUAUGUGUAGGUGGUAUAUAUAUAUAUAUAUAUAUAUAUCUAUAUAUAUAUAUAUAUAUACAUAUGCAUCUGCUGUGUAGUGUGUGUGUGUAAGUGUGUUUAUAAUGUGUGUAUACAUGUGCUCUAUGUUGUGUGUGUGUGCAUGUGUGUGUGUGUGUGUGUUGUGUGUGUUUCUUCAAUUUGCAAAGCUACUCAUUUAGCUAUGUUGCCUUUAUUACCAAUAAGAAUACAUAAUACUUUGUUAUUCCACUACAAUAACAAACAAUAUUUGUUCCUAUUUCCUGAUAAACAUUUAUUUACCCCAACAAUUGUACACACAAUAAUGGCUAAUUUGUAAAUUUGGCAAUUUAUAUAAUACCAUAUAAAUGACUUGUUUUCCUCUGUAAUGUAUAAAACGAGAUCUGUGCCACAAACUUCAAUCAACGUCAAUGUAAAUGGCUUGAUUUUUUCCCCCCUAAAUUGCUGGACUUACUAAAUGAUAUAAUUUAAUACUUAUUUCUCUAUCAUAGCUUUCCUAUUAUUCUUUAAGUAAUGUAACUAAUUCCUCCACAUAUCAGAGUUCUAUAUAGCAUUCUGUUUGUCUUACUUAACAUGGAUAUGCUGUGGAAGACCAGAAAGCUUUGGCAUUUGUUUCAAGAAAAUAUUUUGUAUAGAUAUUAUAGCACCAAAAAGCACAGAAGUAUAAAAGCCAUCCAACAGCAUUGGAAUUGUUAAAUGUAGAUUUUUAGUUCUUUGAGUAUCAUUCCAUUUCUAGGGUCUGUAGAAAGAUCUUAAAUGUAAUAAAUACCACAGUUUUCUAGCUUUCUACUGUAUAUCCACACCAAGAUAUGCAGAAUACUAUUUUGAAAUAACACUGUUUCUAUUGCUAAUAACAAAAAGCACAUAGCUUAAUGGUAUUCAGCUGGUAUGUGAGAGGUAUGGGGUUCUAUUCUCUAUAGCUGCCUACUAGCAACUUUUUUUCAUCUUCCAAGGGUAAAUACACAAUCCUACCUGGUAGCCUUCACUACUAUACACACAUAUAUAUAUAUAUGCAACAUCAAGGAGCUCCAAAACGCAGAUUCAAAGAUCAGCUGAAGUCUUUUCAUCUUCAAGAUGGCAUCAGUCCUAACACCUGGGAAGCAGAAGCCAACGACCAUCAAUCCUGAUGAAGAGUUAUUCAUCUCAGCUGUCCCACUUUUGAGGAGAGGAGAAAGACUGAAAAAGCAAAAAAAAAGCAACACAAAGCCUGGCAACUCCAGCCAAGACCACCACCCAUGCUGCCAUAUGAUCAAUGCUUGAGACUGUUCUAUUCCUGACUUGACCUUCUGAGCCAUGUCAAGUUUAAGCACCAUGGAGGUACCAGAUGAACCAAACAUGGACACAAGUGGUGCUGACGACUGCAUUUGAAAUUUACUUUCUUGUCUGCACAUUCAUCACUUCUAAAGUUUGUCUAUGAAAUGUUCCCACAUUCCAAAAAGCUAUUUCUUAGCAUUAAAAUUGACAGUAAUUGUUACCAGGAAUCAUUUAGCUUAAUAGCACAAGUCAUUCAACCAGUACCUGAGAGGUGCGGAGCUCAAUUCUCCAUGGCUGCUGGCUGGCAACUUUUUUUCUCCAUGUGGUGCCCCAGCAUGGCUGCAGUCUAAUGACUGAAACAAGUGAAAGACAAAAGAGAUUUGAAAAAUAUGUGGGAUAGGUUAUUUGUUGAAGAACCUGAAACUGUUGGUAACUGAAAAAGUAUCACUCCUUGAAAGUCACAUCGUUUUACAUCAUAUUAGAAUGGAAUUGAGGGAUUUUGCCAUAAAUUGCAGCAUGGAAUAACAGAAUAUGGGGAGAUUUUUAUAUGUAUUAUAAGUCAGUUUUUGAAAUUUGAACAAAAAAUAAGUUACAGGUUUUGCUGCAUGGUUAAGACAUUUGCUUUCCAGCCACUUGAUUUCAGGUUCCAUCCCACUGCACAACACCUUGACCAAAUGUCUUCUACAAUAGCCCUAAGCUGACCACUGCCUCAUGAAUGAAUUUGAUUGAUGGAAACUGAAAGAAUUCCAUUGUAUACAUGUGUGUGUGUGCGUGUGUGGAGGGUGCGUGCAUGCCUGGCUCUUGACAUCAUGUGAUACACAUGAAUUAGUAUUGCUAUCAUACAAACAGUGUCAUUUGUUUCCAGUUUUCCAUGGAAAUGUGACUAGUUAUGCAGAAAUAAUACCUUACUUGAAGACAACUGAGAAUUGGCAGUAGGAAGAGCAUUUGGCUAUGGGAAAACUGCUUCAAUAAAUGCUGUCUGGCUCAUGCAAGCAUAGAAAAUGUGGGAAUUACAAUUAAAAAGAUAACGAGGAAACAAUGAAGACUGAUAUAUAUUCAUAUAUAUAUAUAUAUAUAUAUACAUAUAUAUAUAUAUAUAUAUAUAUAUUGUGGCACAUUCUGUCGGUACAAUGAUGAGGGUUCCAGUUUAUCCGAUCAACAGAACAAACGGCUCAAGAAAUUAACAUGCAAGUGGCUGAGCACUCCACAGGCAUGUGAACCCUUAACAUAGUUCUUGGGUGUGACAGGGCUGGCCCUCCAAAAUACAGGUUCAACAGAAACAGGAAGAAAGAGUGAGAGUAAGUUGUGGCGAAAGAGUACAGCAGGGUUUGCCACCACCACCUGCCGGAACCUUGUGGAGCUUUAGGUGUUUACAGUCAAUAAACACUCACAAUGACCAGUCUGCGAAUUGAAACUGUGAUGUUACAACCAUGAGUCUGCUGCCUUAACCACUGGGCCAUUGCACCUCCACACACACAUAUAUAUUCAUAUUCAUUACUAAGUAUUGUUAUCUUCUAUUAUAUGAAGUGGCAGACUCAUUAGAACCAAUUACCUUGUAGUAUUUUCCAGCUCUUUCUGUUCUGAAUUUGAAUUACGAUUCUUCUGAAGAUGUUAAAGCAAAAAUUCAAGUACCAGUCAUAUAAUGGGUAAGGUUGGCAAUUGUAAUCAACUAACUCCCUCUCAUAAAAUUUCUGUCCUUAUACUUAUGUUAGAAAUAAUUUUUCUACCUUUCUGUUUGUUAGCAAGGAAAUACAAGUGUAUGCUUGUAUGUGUGUGUGUGUGUGUGUGUGUGUGUGUGUGUGUGUGUGUGUGUGUGUGUGUGUGUGUGUGUGCGUGUGCACGCGUGCAUUCUUAUAAUGGAAAUAUCAUAUCCUGAAACUUGCAUGUUCACACACACACACGCACACACACACACUCACAUUAUUGUUUUCAUGUUUCUGGAUUUCGACUCCAAAAAUAAGAAAGAAUCUUCACUUCAAUCAAUAGAGACAUACCUGCAAGAUGGAAAAUUUAAUUUUCAUAAAGUUAUCUCACCUAACAAAGAACUCUUUCACUGUUUUUGCAUUUAUCUUAAAAACCAACUUUUUACAUUCAUUUCUUUUUUUUUUCAUUUUCUAUGUUUUUGAAAUUUCUUUUAUAGAUAGUAGCAACCCAUAGUUCAAGAAAUAUUCUUCUUCUCUCCAUAUAUAUUUUUAUUCUUUUGCUUCAAAGAAAUUUCUGAGAAAAUUUGCUUAAUUUAGCACAUUAUAAAUACAUUCCAAAAUCUUCAUUCUUUUUUUUAAUAUUUUGUACGCUAUAGAAUCAUUAAAUUUUCAAAAACGCCUUUUGAAAACCUUUGAGAAUAUAACGGAAGCACCAGUUUUGGUGUGUAUUAUUGAGGCUUCAAGGUUAAAACAAUACUCACAUAAACAAACAAAUAAAUAAAUAAAUAAAUGUGCUUACAAAAAAAAUUAAUAAGAAAUUAAGUAAAUUACAAUUUUAACUUCAUUUUUCAACACAUUUUAUUACACCUGCUUGUAAGAUGAAGAAGCAAAUUCUAAAUUUUCAAAAUAGCUAUUUUCAUUUUUUUAAAAUUUGAUUUAUCUUUACCUUCAUUUUGAAAAUAGUAUCAAUAUUUCUUUCUUUUUUUUCAGUUAUUAUUGUGAUAGGUUAUAAGAAAUAACUAAUUUCCAAACAAUAGUAUAUUUUUUUUUUUACUAUUUAUUCUUUAAUUUUAUUUUUCCCAUGCAGAGAGCAAACACCUGUUGUUUCAAAAUAGAACCACUGGAAAUCUAAUUCUUCUUAUGUAUUAAAAGUACUUAUUGAAUGUUUAGGAAGCUAAUAAUUCUGUAUUCUUUUCAUUCUAAGCUGUUUAUCUCUCACCGUAUUGAAUUAUAAAGAAACCUUGAAGCAUUUCAAGAUUAUAAAAAUGAAAGUUACAGUUUAAGGAGCUCAGCAUUUAUUGCUUAAAUACUCGAAAUGGUAUUAUAAUUCCAAAAUACCAUAAAAGUUUUAUUGAAGAGUGAGACAUAACCGCUCUGUGACAUGUCUAUUGUCUGUUGUAAUGCAACUGUGUUGCAUUCGAAAAACUGCCAGCUGUUUGGUCAUUUGACAAUUAUUGAUCUGCUACUGUUAACAUUUUCUAUCACUGAGCAUUUAUAAAUCUAUUGAUAUUAAAUGUUUCUUAGAAAUAUAAAAUAGAAGUUUUAAUGCUGAUCCCAUUCUUUAAGCAUCCUGUCUUAAAGAAAAAAUAUCUUAAUCUUGUGAAACAACAUCAUAGACAUAUUAAAUUAAUAUAUUGUCUCACAUGUUUUAUUUUAAAUUUUUCUGUCGCCUUGGUGUUUUUUGUUGUCUUUUUAUUUCUCUAUUUAAAGUAUAUUCACGUGCUGAAGAAGCUGGGAUUUUAUAAAUACCAAUUUUCUCAAGUUUGGUCAUGAAAAAUAUUAAGGCGAGUAGAUUUAAUGACUUCUUCUGAACUCUUGACCUUUAAGCAAUGAAUUCAACAUCUAAUUAUCACUUAUCAUUUAUAGCAACUGAAAAUAUCAGCAACGAAAAUUAAAAGAUUUCUUUCAGAAGUUCCUUGUUAUAUUUUUUAAAUAAUUUCUACUCGGAGAUAUGCAGUAAGAUGCCAACACUCCAAAGAAACACAUCUGCAUCUCAGUUUCACUAGCAACAUUCAGCUGAUAAUUUCUUUGGGAAAAGAAUGAAUGUCUUUAUAUCCUGUUUGAUAUGAGAUUUACAUUUAAGUCUCUGAACCUGUUUAACCUGUCUGGGACCACUCCUAGUCCCAUGAUAGAAACUCCUUUUAUUAAAGGGAUCUAAAUUAAAAGCUUCCAUUAAAAUUCCAUGUUAAUGUGUGUCUGUGAUUGUCCCCCCAACAUAACUUGACAAUCGAUGCUGGUGUGUUUACGUCCCUAUCACUUAGAGGUUCGGCAAAAGAGACCGAUAAAAUAAAUACUAGGCUUACAAAGAAUUGUAAGCCGAUUUGCUCGACUAAAGGUGGUGCUCCAGCAUGGCCACAGUCAAAUGACUGAAACAAGUAAAAGAAUAAAAGAAUAAACAUACAACAAACAUUUUAAGGUUAGUAUUCCCUGCUAAAGUAGAAGUUUGUGUAACAACCCUCAUGAAAAUCUUCUUCAUUUUCCCCUAUCCCCUAUGUCCUCUCCACCCCAACUUCAUUUGCCCCUGUUUCUUCUUAAUCAUGGCUUCUUUGUCACUGUUCUUCCUCUUGUUCACUUUGCAUUCAUUUCCUUCAUUCUUCUCACCCUUUCCCUUUCAUCUUUUCUCAGCACAUGACCCAGCUAUUUCCUCCCCUUUCUCUUGGAAAAAUCCAUCACUAGCUCUAUUCCCAUCAGUCUCUGCAAUUCAUUGUUUGUAUACCUUUCUCUUGGUGUUACCCAACUUAGAAUAUUAAAUUUUGGAAAUGGAAAUAUUUGAAGUAGAAAACCCAAAAAGUUUGUGUCUCAUUUAAUAUGAAUUUAUUUCUAUCAAAAUGAAAAGAAUUUUCAGUUUUCACUUAAAUAGAAAUAUAAUUCCAAAAGUUUUAUAAAAGCAUGGUUGGCCCUUAGGAAUUGGGUUUGUAGCAGUAGCUUGAUGCCAGGGAACCAUGGAGAAGACUGGUCAAUGGGAUCCAAAUAUGCUAAAUGUACCAGAUACACAUACAUACAUAUGAGAGGAUGCUGAAAGUCUCCAGGCUGUUACCUAAAGGUAAAAGAAAAUGCAGAAGGAUCAGUUAAUUACGAUUUUAUUCAACAUAUUUCCCUC
rnacentral:lncRNA from 1 species